GACGAACGCUGGCGGCGUGCCUAACACAUGCAAGUCGAACGGAAAGGCCCUGCUUUUGUGGGGUGCUCGAGUGGCGAACGGGUGAGUAACACGUGAGUAACCUGACCUUGACUUUGGGAUAACUUCAGGAAACUGGGGCUAAUACCGGAUAGGAGCUCCUGCUGCAUGGUGGGGGUUGGAAAGUUUCGGCGGUUGGGGAUGGACUCGCGGCUUAUCAGCUUGUUGGUGGGGUAGUGGCUUACCAAGGCUUUGACGGGUAGCCGGCCUGAGAGGGUGAACGGCCACAUUGGGACUGAGAUACGGACCAGAGUCCUACGGGAGGCAGCAAUGGGGAAUAUUGCACAAUGGGCGGAAGCCUGAUGAAGCAACGCCGCGUGCGGGAUGACGGCCUUCGGGUUGUAAACCGCUUUCGCCUGUGACGAAGCGUGAGUGACGGUAAUGGGUAAAGAAGCACCGGCUAACUACGUG
rnacentral:rRNA from 1 species